ensembl:lncRNA
GUUCAGGCGUUCACACACGGUCCGGCCACAGUGGACGGAGAACGAGGAGGAAAGUUCCGUCUGCUAGAAGGAAACGUUUUUGGUGAAUUCACAGAGCUGAUCCCCGAUGAGAAAAUAGUCAUGAAGUGGAGGUAUAACACCUGGCCCUGUGAGCAUUACGCGACGAUCACGCUGUCGUUCUUGGACCGGAGCAGCGAGACGGAGCUGAAGGUGGAGUGUCGAGGCGUCCCGGACAGCGAGGAGGAGCAGACCAGGGAGGGCUGGAAGAGAUACUACUUCGGCGCCAUCAAACAGACUUUUGGCUUCGGAGCGCGACUCUUCUGAAGACGGUUUCCUGGAUUUUUAAACCUUUCCUCCUUCCAUCUUUCUUUCUUUAUUUUGUUUUGUUUUGCUUUUCUGGCACAAAAAAUGUUGUUAAACUCACGAAAGAGGAGAACCGGUGAGGCCUCCAGCAUCUCCUGUUCUGUGUAAAUGUUUUAAUUUGUGAGCAUAUUUAAAUCUAGAUUUCCCCCUGUGUCUCUCCCCAGUAUUUGUUGUUCAAAGGAGCUCGUGGACUGUGCCUUUGGAACAAAACGGAUCGAGUAAGAAGAAUCUAGUGAACCACUAAACGCAGAAUCGGCUUCUAUAAAUAUGUAAUUAUUGCAAGAGAUGAAAGAAUUAAUGUCUUUUUUUUUCCUUUUACUCGAAGAGAAAAAGAAACGUGUUGUUUUGAAGAUGAAUGUUUAUUUUGUACUCAUUUUACUCGAGUGUUUCCGUGGUGACGACGCUUUCAGCCCAGAUGCAUGUUUCAUUUCGGAGGAUCCUCAGCAGUACUGUAACUUUCAGCAUUUUUAUCCAUUCACACUUGAUUUCCAUCCGCAUCACGAAGCCGGCGGCGUCUUUUCUCAGACCUCCAGCGGAAGUGUUUCCUCUCGCAGGUCGCAGCGUAGCAACUACAGACGUUUUGCUUCAUUUGGCUUCAAACUGUACAUUUCCAGUAAAAGAAAAAAGCGAAAAAAACUCUCAGAACAGAAAAAAAAGCAUCUAUUUAUUCCUCAUUUCAUCCCACCGCCGUGUAAAGAGAUUAGUUUCUUGGAAUAAAUCGAUCCCUGUACGCUCCUCUACUGUUUUUAUUCUCCGCCACGUUAUUUAUUUUCACUUUAUUUCAGUGUUUUUCUGUCUUUGAAACGUUAAUUUACAAGUUUGGUUUGAAAAAUCGAUGCAGGUCACAUUUUAAACAACAAAAAAUAGAAAAAAGUUUCAUCAAAUGUGGUCAAACUACAUUAAAAAAAG